CAUCACCAUAUCAUUUAGUUUUUUUGCCCCAACUCCAAGUAGAUUAGAACACUAUGACCAUUACACUGAAAUGGCUAUGUCUUCCUUUCUUCCCUGCCUUCUUCCCUACCUCCCUCUAUUCUCUCUCUUUUUUUUUUCUUAGCAAUCUCCAGUAAAAUUUUCAUACCUGAGUGAUCUGUUCCAGUGUCUGAAGACUCACUCAGUAAAGGAAGAAAAGAAGCUCAUUCUGCCUCAACGUUAGCUUUAUGAGAAGAAUGCUGGAGAUCUGCUUGGUGCAAGUGCGAAAGAGACCACAGAUGGAAGCUCACAGAUGGAAGCCUGCUGAUCAUACAGCUGUUUCUUUGUUGAUUGGCUGUAGUCCCCUGGGUCUCAUCUUUGGGAGUGAAUCAGAAUCACCUAGAAGCCUUGUGACUCGAACCCAUAUCUUCGGAAUUCCAGGUGUUAUUUCCAUGAUAUCUCACUGAAUCCUGCUCUUUAUGAAAAACAGUGUGAGAUAGUGAGUUUUCAGUAUAAGGAGACUGGGCUCUAGAGCAGGGCCCCACCCCAGAGUUUCCACUUCAGUAAGUCUGGGGAAUAGUCUGAAAAUGUGCAUUUAUAACAAGUUCCCAGAUAAUGGUAAAUCUGCUGGCUCUGUAACCACACUGUGAGAACAACGGUGUGGCAAAUACUAGGACUCUUUCAGUAUGGAUAUUUCUGUCACCUCAUACCCAUGUAUGGAGUACUGAGCUCACUAUUUACUCCCUAAACCUACCACACUCCCCACUUUUCCCCUAUUGUAGUAAAUGACAGCACAUUGCACCUGUUUUUUUUAGCAAGAAGCCUCAAAGUCGUCUUUUUCUCUUCUCCCCCAACUAGUUAAAUCCUGAAGCUCUGUUGCUUCUGUUCACUAAGGGUCUUUUCAGUCCAUAUACUGUCCUUUAGUCGCACUGCUGCCACCUUAGUUCAGGCACCAGCAUCUGAUGAUUCAUAGGGACCUUCUGCAUGAAUUCCUACAUUCAUAUGUGUCCUUCUCCAACAUUCUCUGUGGGCAAGGUGACUUUUAUAAAAUACAAGUCUAAACACGUCACUCCUCGGUAUAAAGUACUUGUUUUCAUUUGCCCUUGGGAUAAAGCUCCAAAUCUAUAACAUGGUCUACAAGGCUCUGGGUGACAUGGGCUGCCUGUUUCUCCACACUCACUUGAGGGCACAUCCCUCACUGUCUACACUCCCAUCACACAGAUACCCUGUCAGCCUUUGGAGCCUGCCAUUCUUUCUCUAGAAGCUGGGCCUUUGGCAUAUAACCUUUUUAUUCACACUUUGCUUGUACAACCCCCAGCUGUUCUCCAAAUCUCAGCUUAGGGGUCCCUUCCUCAAUGAAGUGUUGAUUUAUCCACUGGAUUAAGUUAAAUGGAUUCACUCUAGUUGUCCAUGGCAGCUCUGCUUUUCUUCUUAGUAUCCUCAUCAAAAUAAAAUUACUUCUCUGAGGGUAUGGAUUCCCA
rnacentral:lncRNA from 1 species